rnacentral:misc_RNA from 1 species
UUUCCGUAGGUGAACCUGCGGAAGGAUCAUUACUGAGUUAGGGUCUUCCAGGCCCGACCUCCAACCCUUUGCCUACCUUACCUCUUGUUGCUUCGGCCGGCCCGUCCCCCCUAGAAAUAGGGGUCGACCGCCGGAGGGCUCACACCCUCUGGCCCGCGCCCGCCGAUGGCCCUCAACCAAAACUCUUGUUCAAUCGUGAAUUGUCUGAGUAUACAAAACAAAAUAAACCAAAAACUUUCAACAACGGAUCUCUUGGUUCUG